UAUGAGGCCUGCAGCUUUGAUUGUAUUAUAUAAAUAAUUUAAAGGGCGUUCACAUUAAUGUAUGAAUAGUGUGUGUGUCAUUCUAAUCUUGCUGUAAUAGAAACUUGGACCUUGAAAACAUAGUAUAAUGCGAUAUACAUGUUAAUAUUCUCAAUCACAGAACCACAAAAAUGGUUUAAUUUGAAAUCACAUGUAUAAAAGCCAAGUAAUAAGUCAUUCUUCAAUGAGAACCUGUAAAAUUUGUUAAGGUAUUUUUGCAUGAUCCAAGGUGUGACAUAGUUGAUUGACUGUAGAAUUUGGACUUUAUCUCAUUGAAACAAUUCUUAUUAUAGCUGUAUAAACUUAAAAAUUUUGAUCAAGCUCCCCCUAUAUGGAGCACCAAAAUGGUACAUUCCAGUCUCUCCUCCUCUCCCUCUCAUUCCCCUCCCUCCUGCUCCCAGUGUCCUCCAUCUCUCCGCUGUCUCUCAUUUUCCUAUAUUAAGGACAUCCUAACUUCACAAGACUGAUCUGCCGCCUCCUCCUCCUCCAUCUAUUAUUCUUCUAGUCUUUACAAAGCUACUGGAAAGUGAAGCAGCACAGAGCCGACCUUAUAAAGAGUUCUCCUGACCAGACCACACCUCUGUCCCAGAGUCCAUGGAAACCAAGACCAAGUCUGGUGCUUCAGUGCCCAAGGCAGCAUCUAAAGCAGAGAAGAAGGAGCCAGCAGCCCCACGCAAGCCUGACCCUGACCCUGCUGUCCCUGAGCCUGAGAAUCCCCCUCCUGCCCAGGAUGGAGCAGCAGAAGCUGAAUCAGCAGGUGAAGGGGCUGCGGCCCCUGGCACAGACUCCAUGGAACACCUGAAACCCUUUCUGAUUGGUGGGGUUGUCAUUGCUGCAGGAGCCAUCUUGCUGGGAGUAUUGCUGCUGGCGAGGAGAAAUUAAAAUCAAAUCAUUAAAUGAAGUUAGAAUAUUUAUUGGUUCAUGAAUUAGAUUCUUAUUUCUGACUGGUUCACAGACAAUUGUCGUGCAGAUGGGAAAUGGGAAGACACUGUGCAUUCUGUGCUUUUUUGGGUAUUAUUUUUAUUCAUUUUUUGGCCUGCUCUCACUUGUAGUGAAUCAACCAACUCAAGUUUGAUCAAACUGCAAUGAAACAUAUUUAUACACAAUAUAUGCAUGUAGUUGCUACAAUGUUGCAUAUGAAAUGUAUUUAUCUAUUUAAAAGAAAAAAAUAAGAAAAAAAUACUUUGGGCCUAAACUCUCUAAAGGAAGCUUUAUCUGCUCUAACUGCUUUAUCUUUUUUAAUCUAGAUUGUACAAAUAUUGGUAUAAGGUUGCAAUAUUUGUGCACUCUGGCACCGGAAAUGAGCUUGGUUCUUUUUGCUUAAAGAUUGUGAAAAUUUGUAUUCACUGUAUUUGUAGUGCUCUUGGGAAACCAGAGUCAAUGUUUUUGUCUUAAUUUUUCCUUUAGAUUAAUACAGUUGAAAGAGCUGAUAAAAGAACAGUUGGAUUUAUGCAACGUGAUGUAUUGCAUAUAUUUUGGCUAGAGAAACGUGUACCCAGGUAGCCAACUGAUUUAGGCAUAUUGAGGUUAAGUAUGGAUAGACUCCACUGAGCUCUGGUAAAAGCAGAUUUUUGGUGAGCAAACUCUGGUCCAAUACUCCCUGCCACAUUUGGUGAGAACUUGGGUUUGUGAUUUUAUGCCAGUUUGCUUUGAGAAUGAGAAGAUUUAACAUCCAACACCAUUAUGUACCAAAUAUAGUGACGUGACUUUUUGAAGAAGAUAUAGACCUGAUUCAGUUUCAUCUUUAAGACAUAGACCAAUCAAUUUGGGGUGAUUCUAUGGCGCUCUUCCUACCUUACCAAGUUUUUAUUCUUCUCUGCUAGAUAUUUUUUUUUUUAUAAAAACACAAAACCAAAAAUGGAGCAAUGAAAUCUAAAGUCGUGAAACCUUUUUUUGCUCCCAGAGACAAAACAUAAAAGCAUGCAAUAGUUGAGGAUGAAUAUGCAAGUGAUUAUUGGACUUUUAUCAUGUACUCUAAGGAAAAGAGAAUAGUAGCAAAGUUAGGUUUUGAUGUAAAAUAAGAAAGAAAUUUAUUUAUUUUACUGUCAAAUGAUAUCAGAAAUCAAUAACCUUUCAUGUCUUAGGAACACAAUCAUGCUAGUUCAUGCCUGCUGCCAAAAUGUGGGAGAUGUGUCCUCACUCUGCUCUUCUAAUAUUUUCAAAAGUACUUACCAAAACAUAUAAGGAGAGCAACUUUGAUUCCAUGCAAGUGGGGUGUAAAUGUACUGUCAUUUAGUUCCCAUCAAAGGGGAAAAGCUGCCCUAUUGCUGCACACACUCACCUGUACAGCUGCACACUAUUUUUUUCAAUUUGCAUUGCAAAACUCAUUGACUUGUUCAUGUUGUAAAAGUAGACAGCAGAAUGACAAUUCUCACACUCAGACCAAAAGUAUUGUAUGAACAUAACACAUCCACCACAGUAAACACCCCUAACAUAUUCAAAAGAUAGUAUGCCAACACCAAAACAAAUUUCACCUACAUUGUACUAUAGUGUACUACAAAAAAAAAAAGAGAAAAAAGAAGAAAAAAAAAGAAAUUUCCUAUUUUCAUAAUUUUAACAGCGUAUAAAUGCAAUAAUUCAGGUAGAACUCCUCAUUUAGCACAUGUGCUGUAGCAAGUUCUAUUACAUAGAUGAUGUAAUGAUGUAUGAUGUUAUUGAAGGCAGUGUUGAUGAUGUUACAUGAUGCCAGUGAUAGCGAUGAUAUUAAGAGUGACUGUAAUGAUAACAAUGAUGGAUAUAUAUAUAUUUUUUUUAUAUUAUUUAACAUAGUGUCCUUAUGCACCUUCCCUGCUGCCUCCAAAUGUCUAAAUGUAAAAAAAGUUUGAAAUACAACCUUAUUAAAGACAGUGAACCAGUC